AUACGGAGGAUCCGAGCGUUAUCCGGAUUUAUUGGGUUUAAAGGGUGCGCAGGCGGCCAUUUAAGUCAGCGGUUAAAUCGUGGGGCUCAACCCCAUUCUGCCGUUGAUACUGGGUUGCUUGAUUGCGGUCGAGGUUGGCGGAAUUCGUUGUGUAGCGGUGAAAUGCAUAGAUAUGACGAAGAACACCGAUUGCGUAGGCAGCUGACCAGACCGCAAAUGACGCUCAUGCACGAAAGUGCGGGGAUCGAACAGGAUUAGAUACCCUGGUAGUCCGCACAGUAAACGAUGAAUACUUGUUUUCGGCGAUAUAAUGUCGGAGGCAAAGCGAAAGCGAUAAGUAUUCCACCUGGGGAGUACGCCGGCAACGGUGAAACUCAAAUGAAUUGGCGGGG
rnacentral:rRNA from 1 species